GCGGGUGACAGAUGGCUACAAACCAGUCAUAGGCCAUCACACUCAGGAGCAUGUCUCUCUUCCAUGCCUCCAAAAAUGGCAAAGAGAGACAUCUGAGUCAGGCAGCCUGCAUAGGAGAUGACUCUGCUGUGAGACUGGAUGUCCACAAUCAUCUUGGGGACCGUGGUGGAGGUGAAACCGAUGUCAGGCAAGGACAGGUUGGAGAGGAAGAAGUACAUGGGGGUGUGGAGGUGGGAGUCAGGGCUGAUGGCCAGGAUGAUGAGCAGGUUCCCCAGCACCGUGACCAGGCACAUGGACAGGAACAGCCCAGCAAGGACUGGCUGCAGUUCUGGAUCCCCUGAGACUUCUAGGAGGAGGAAUAUAGAGACAUCUGUUAGAUUCUGUGGGUCUGCAUAAUUUGGACACCUUUGCCUAGAAACGAGGGUUGAAAAAUGGGAAACAAGUAAACCAACACCUGGCAUUGUGUCUGCAUUUUGAAUAGAAGCAAUUCACAAGUAAUGUUUUCAGAUUUCAGAGCAAUCCACACUCAGC
rnacentral:lncRNA from 1 species